GCUCCAGCUUGCUGGAGUGGAUCAGUGGCGAACGGGUGAGUAACACGUGAGCAACCUGCCCCAAACUCUGGAAUAAGCGCUGGAAACGGCGUCUAAUACUGGAUACGAGACGGAACCGCAUGGUUACCGUUUGGAAAGUUUUUCGGUUUGGGAUGGGCUCGCGGCCUAUCAGCUUGUUGGUGAGGUAAUGGCUCACCAAGGCGACGACGGGUAGCCGGCCUGAGAGGGCGACCGGCCACACUGGGACUGAGACACGGCCCAGACUCCUACGGGAGGCAGCAGUGGGGAAUAUUGCACAAUGGGCGAAAGCCUGAUGCAGCGACGCCGCGUGAGGGAUGACGGCCUUCGGGUUGUAAACCUCUUUCAGCAGGGAAGAAGCGAGAGUGACGGUACCUGCAGAAGAAGCACCGGCUAACUACGUGCCAGCAGCCGCGGUAAUACGUAGGGUGCGAGCGUUGUCCGGAAUUAUUGGGCGUAAAGAGCUUGUAGGCGGUUUGUCGCGUCUGCUGUGAAAAUCCGGGGCUCAACCCCGGACUUGCAGUGGGUACGGGCAGACUAGAGUGUGGUAGGGGAGACUGGAAUUCCUGGUGUAGCGGUGAAAUGCGCAGAUAUCAGGAGGAACACCGAUGGCGAAGGCAGGUCUCUGGGCCACUACUGACGCUGAGAAGCGAAAGCAUGGGGAGCGAACAGGAUUAGAUACCCUGGUAGUCCAUGCCGUAAACGUUGGGCGCUAGGUGUGGGACUCAUUCCACGAGUUCCGUGCCGCAGCU
rnacentral:rRNA from 1 species